AAAACUUCCUCUUCACGACGAAAGUGACGGAAAGUGAUGUAUGCAAUUGCUAUUUGAAGAGAAAAUGAGUGCGGAUAUUAGAUCAAUGUCAAUCAAAAUUAUGCUCAAUUUUCAAGAAGAUGCCAAAGUUCAAUUCUUCAGCUGUGACCCCUUGCUCCAUCAUGCAUGGAUUCUGCAAACCCAACUUCUGUGUGCAAAAGACAAGGCUACUUAUAUCUUGAGUUAACAUGGAGAUUUUAGAUCUCCCAGAGGAGGUGCUCUUGUUGAUUUUCUCAUAUGUACCACUGUACAAUCUCUUCUUCUCUGUCCAGCAAACAUGUCUUGCAUGGAGGGAUCUGUGCUUCCACCACAGCUUGUGGGGCACGGUUCACUAUAGCCAACAGAUUGACGAAAAGCUGACCGAAGAGGAACUGCUUUCAGUCCUGAAAUCGGUGUCUAGGGGCCUACAGCAUCUAGUUUUUGAGAAAGCUUUCCAGCACCGGGAGACCGAUUUUUCAUUCCUAAAAAUUCUUAAGUGUAUUUUACAUCAAGACGUGGAUGUGAGUAAUAUCUCAUCACUUAAAAUACCGUCGAUCCCAAAUGAGUAUUUGGAGCCCCUCGUGGAUAAAUGUACAGGAUUGUCUUCGAUUGAAGUCAGUUAUUAUUACGCAUACUGCAGCAAUGGAGAAUUUUUCGUAACCAUGAAAAAACUUCCACAUUUGAAAGUGUUCAAAAUAACGGAGAGCUCCAAGUGUAUUGAAACAUUCGCUGAACCUGCCUUCCAUCAGAACAGGUUCAAUGAACUGCUUGCAGACAUGUUCAGUGGUCUAUUGGAAUUGGAAGUUGUUCACAUUGCCAGUGUGAACAAGUUAUACGACUCUACUUUGUGUGCUCUGCUAGAUGCUUGUAAAAACAUGAAGGAACUUGCUCUGUAUGGAUGUGAUGGUAUAUCCAAUGCUGGCUUCCAAUCUUUACCAGAAAAAUCAGGAAUUACCUCCCUUCAUUUGAAUUCCACCAGCGUGAAUGACAAAGGAAUGGAACACAUUUGUAGGUCCUGUCCAGGUCUACGCAAUGUCUCGUUUGCUGGCUGUAUGUACGUUACAGACAUUUCAAUCAAACAUUUAUGCACCCACUGCCCCAACCUUGAAUCUCUGUGCGUGUCGGAUCCGGAAAUCUUCUACCACAAAUCCAACAUAACGGACGGAGGACUGGAUUAUCUAUCCCAGAAUUCCCAUGCACUGCGCUCGCUCACCAUGUGUAACAGUGCUCAGAUCUCGGACCUGGGCUUGGACCAGCUUGCUCGUAGCUGUAGUAACCUGAUGCAGCUAGACGUGUCCGGAUGUCUGUCAGUCUCGGAUAACACUCUACAGGUGCUAGCGCAGCACUGUAACCAUCUCCAGACCGUGAACUUCAGCGAAUGUGUUCAUCUGACCGGCAAAGGCAUCAACCCAUUGGUGACAUCCUGUAAAUGGCUGAAAACACUGAAUGUGGCCAACUGUCCAUUUGUACAGAAUCUGAAUUUUGAAGCGUUUGAUCAGAUUGAGACUCCCUAUGAUAGGUAACUACAGAAAACAUAUAGGACUUUUAAAGUGUCAGUUCUCAUAAUUUUAGACUAAGUCUUAUUUUUAAAGUUUCAUAUUACUUAUUCCUUUCGUGUAAACGAUAACUUUGGAUGUGAAAAUUCAGUGUAUUUAGGCUAAAGUAAAAUUUUGAUUUCUAAGCUGUUUCAAUUGUACAUGAAUAACAAAAGUCUUGGAAGAGAUCCUCAUAUACUUUAUUAAACUGUGUUUAUAUUCAUAAGUUGAGGAGUACAUGCAUUUCACAUGUAAAUCCAAGAAAGUAACAAAUUGUAUGAGUAACCCUUGCUGGAGUAAAGAAUUCAUAGAAUGAAUUUUGUUUUCGAAAUUGUUCACAUGUUGAUAAAUUCUACUAACAAAACUUUGAUUACUUAUAAAAUUAGCACAUAUUUGGAAUCCACUUUUUAUACAGGAUAUACCAGUAUUUUCUUUACAUUUUUAUGAUUUAGAUUAUUCAUACUUUUGUAAUCAUUUGCUCUGCAUGUACUGAUAGUUGUGAUACAUUUUUAUUUCCAGAUAUUUAAAAGAAAAAGAGAUAUUGUCAAAAUGCCCUGACAAAUUAAAUGGUAUUGUAUACAUAUUUAAAUAUCAAUUUAUUUCUGAUAUGUAGCAGUGCUAUUAAGAUUCUACAUGUAUUUGAAUUAAUUUUUACAUUAAAGACUAUAUUCUAAUCUUU
rnacentral:misc_RNA from 1 species